UACAGAGGUGGCAAGCGUUGUUCGGAAUUACUGGGCGUAAAGGGCGCGUAGGCGGCUUUUUAAGUCAGACGUGAAAUCCCCCGGCUUAACCUGGGAACUGCGUCUGAUACUGGGAAGCUUGAGUUCGGGAGAGGGAUGUAGAAUUCCAGGUGUAGCGGUGAAAUGCGUAGAUAUCUGGAGGAACACCGGUGGCGAAGGCGGCAUCCUGGACCAACAUUGACGCUGAGGAGCGAAAGCUAGGGGAGCAAACGGG
rnacentral:rRNA from 1 species